ensembl:lincRNA Gm43699 predicted gene 43699
UGCUUUUUCUCUCUCUUGCUCUUUCUCUUGCUUUCUUUUUCUCUUUCUUGCUUUCUUGUUCUUGUUCUUUUUCUCGCUCUUGCACUCUUGCUCCUAAAGAUGUAAGCAAUAAAGUUUUGCCGCAGAAGAUUCUGGUUUGCUGUGUUCUUCCUGGCCGGUCGCGAACGCGUGCUCUUUCUCCGAACCAGUUGUCUGGAGGUGAACCCAGAAGUCAUCAGCCAAGAUUCAGAAAGCACCCGAUGAACAGAGCUUGGGUUUGGAAAUCAGUGCAUGGAAGACAGGCACCAGCUGAUUCUCGUUUUGGAACAUCAGCAAGACAGAAGCACCUCCCAUGCUUUGUUGAUGGUAUAGGUAGAGAUUUGUUUGCUAAAGCUCUCAGCACAUCCUUAGCCAAUGCAUUCCUUAAUAAUGAUAAGGUUAUGAUAUGCAAGGCAUUGUGCUAAAAGAUAAGAUAUUAGGUCGGCUUGUGGAACACACCCAUAAUCCCAGCACUCUAAGAGGAGAAACGGAAGGAUUGCAAAUUUGAGGUCAAUUCCGGCUACAUAGCAAAUUCCAGGUCGUUCUGGGUGACCUGAUUAGACCCAGUCAAGAACAACAACUCAAAAGAUAUGAUCUCAUUCCUCAAAGAGUUGAGACGGGAGGAAAUGAUCUGAUGAGCUUUCAGUCUUGCUCCAUUCGAGCCUUGCUCAGGGGACAUUUGUAGAGAGCCUUUGUUCCCAUAGAAAUGUAUAUGGAAAUAUCAAGGUUGAUGUUGGAUGGUUUGACAGAGAAACCACACUGGGGAAAUGGAGCGCUUUGAAAUCAGGUCACCUAGAAAA